AUUUAAGUGGUUUAAAAAAAACAAUACAUUUUCAUUGUAUAAAUAAUAUUUACAUAUAUUCUUAAAUA
rnacentral:tRNA from 1 species